AUCUUUUUAAUUACUUAUUUAUUUCAAGUAAAAAAUAUGUCAAUUUUUCAAAAAAGAGUGUGGGUUUUAAAUACAUGCGCAAAAAAAAAUCGCGCAGAAAUUGAUAAUGAUCCUUCCGCAGGUUCACCUACGGAAA
rnacentral:misc_RNA from 1 species